rnacentral:lncRNA from 1 species
CAGAGAAGGCAACAAAAGCAAUGUAUGAGGUUUUAAAAAGAGGUCGCAUUCAUAAUUUAGCAAUUGAAUGUCAACUAGAACUUUUUAAUAAAAUGGUAAAGCCCAUUCUUUUGUAUGGCUCAGAAGUAUGGGGAUUUUGUAAAAAUAUUCAAUGUAUUGAAAGGGUACAAUUACGAUUUUGUAAAUUGUUACUUAAGUUAAAAUCAUCCACCCCAAAC